GAGUUUGAUCCUGGCUCAGAGCGAACGCUGGCGGCAGGCUUAACACAUGCAAGUCGAGCGGGCCUUUCGGGGUCAGCGGCGGACGGGUGAGUAACGCGUGGGAACGUGCCUUCUGGUCUGGAAUAACCCUGGGAAACUAGGGCUAAUACCGGAUACGCCCUUUUGGGGAAAGGUUUACUGCCGGAAGAUCGGCCCGCGUCUGAUUAGCUUGUUGGUGGGGUAACGGCCUACCAAGGCGACGAUCAGUAGCUGGUCUGAGAGGAUGAUCAGCCACACUGGGACUGAGACACGGCCCAGACUCCUACGGGAGGCAGCAGUGGGGAAUAUUGGACAAUGGGCGCAAGCCUGAUCCAGCCAUGCCGCGUGAGUGAUGAAGGCCUUAGGGUUGUAAAGCUCUUUUAUCCGGGACGAUAAUGACGGUACCGGAGGAAUAAGCCCCGGCUAACUUCGUGCCAGCAGCCGCGGUAAUACGAAGGGGGCUAGCGUUGCUCGGAAUCACUGGGCGUAAAGGGCGCGUAGGCGGCGUUUUAAGUCGGGGGUGAAAGCCUGUGGCUCAACCACAGAAUGGCCUUCGAUACUGGGACGCUUGAGUAUGGUAGAGGUUGGUGGAACUGCGAGUGUAGAGGUGAAAUUCGUAGAUAUUCGCAAGACACCGGUGGCGAAGGCGGCCAACUGGACCAUUACUGACGCUGAGGCGCGAAAGCGUGGGGAGCAAACAGGAUUAGAUACCC
rnacentral:rRNA from 1 species